CCUACGGGGGGCUGCAGUGGGGAAUAUUGGACAAUGGGGGCAACCCUGAUCCAGCCAUGCCGCGUGUGUGAAGAAGGCCCUCGGGUUGUAAAGCACUUUCAGUGAGGAAGAACGCCUGGUGGUUAAUACCCAUCAGGAAAGACAUCACUCACAGAAGAAGCACCGGCUAACUCCGUGCCAGCAGCCGCGGUAAUACGGAGGGUGCGAGCGUUAAUCGGAAUUACUGGGCGUAAAGCGCGCGUAGGUGGCUUGAUAAGCCGGUUGUGAAAGCCCCGGGCUCAACCUGGGAACGGCAUCCGGAACUGUCAAGCUAGAGUGCAGGAGAGGAAGGUAGAAUUCCAGGUGUAGCGGUGAAAUGCGUAGAGAUCGGGAGGAAUACCAGUGGCGAAGGCGGCCUUCUGGACUGACACUGACACUGAGGUGCGAAAGCGUGGGUAGCAAACAGGAUUAGAUACCCCUGUAGUC
rnacentral:rRNA from 1 species